CUCACACCUCUGUUAGAAUAAAGCUUCAUUAUCUUUAAAUGCAAAUAGAGCUUUAUUCACUUCACAUGCAAUUUUAAAAACUGAGUAACUCACUAAAGUUCUUUCCUACGUUUAUAAAAGUGAACCUGAGAGCUCAUUUUGUAUGAGAUAUAAUUGAAAUUGAAUUUUGAUUAUGUUGGAAUUUCCCCAUCGGCAAAUUCUUCUCUCUUUCCUUAUCUUCUCUAUCUUCUAUCUUCUGCUCUUUUUUCUCUCCCUUUUCUUCUCUCAUCUCUCUUGGUUAAGUUCUAUUCAAUUGGUAUUCACUCUUUUGAUCAAAUCUAAAUCAAUUUUAUGUUUCGUAGUAUUCUUUGUCAAAAGAAACCAAUAAAAGAAUUAGUUUUCAGUAUUACUCAUUGAGCAAAAAAAUUUAUAGUCCUAUUCCAAAUUUUAAAAAAGAAGAAAAAAAAAGAAGCAAGCUGUCGGCAGAUAAUUGAUUGAAGUUAACAUGCUGUCAGAACCACCACUGCUGGAGAACUAGAGUCAAAAAAGAAAAUUACCGAAGUCCCCUUAUAUCACUCAUAUCAUUUCUACUGUUCACUGUCAUCAAGACAAACAUCGUAUUUGUGACAUCUUGAUUCUUGACAUCAUAAUUUCAAGGUUUGUGGCUUAUCAUUACUAUGAAGUUAUGGUCAUCAUUUUCUACUUCUAUUAUUGAUAUACAGGGGGAAAAGAUCAUAUAAUUAUUUUUUCUACAGGGUUCACACAAGAAUCAAAACCAUCAGAUUAAAUAUAUAUCUGCUGGGAAAACUGCCAUGACCACUUAAUCUUCUUAAUCACAAUAUGUUCAUUACUUUUACAUAAAUUUGAAUUGCACAAGCUGAAUCUAUCUUUAUCCAAUAUCUAUCUCAAAAUGUGACCGAUUAGUGUUAGCGCACAAGACACUUUCUUAAGAUCUAAAGCCACUAAUAGUUCACAUGAACAUACAUUAAGUUUUAUUACUUUUCAAGUUAUGCAAUAUGCAUUAAACCCAUAUCCAAUUUCAAUCUAAACAACUCAGUCCAAAAACAGUAAAACACCAUAACCGAAAGCAUUAAUCUCUUGAUAAUUGGCAGCUUAGAUGACGACUCAAGCACCCAAUGAACAUCCAACCAACACAAUUAUACUUUCAUAACCUUUGUAGUAAAUGCUCA
rnacentral:lncRNA from 1 species